rnacentral:rRNA from 1 species
CCUGGCUCAGGACGAACGCUGGCGGCGUGCCUAAUACAUGCAAGUCGAGCGGACUUGCUGGAGCUUGCUCCAGCAGGUUAGCGGCGGACGGGUGAGUAACACGUGGGCAACCUGCCUGUAAGACUGGGAUAACUCCGGGAAACCGGAGCUAAUACCGGAUAGUAUCUUGAACCGCAUGGUUCAAGUUGGAAAGACGGUUUCGGCUGUCACUUACAGAUGGGCCCGCGGCGCAUUAGCUAGUUGGUGAGGUAAUGGCUCACCAAGGCAACGAUGCGUAGCCGACCUGAGAGGGUGAUCGGCCACACUGGGACUGAGACACGGCCCAGACUCCUACGGGAGGCAGCAGUAGGGAAUCUUCCGCAAUGGACGAAAGUCUGACGGAGCAACGCCGCGUGAGUGAUGAAGGUUUUCGGAUCGUAAAACUCUGUUGUUAGGGAAGAACAAGUGCGAGAGUAACUGCUCGCACC